AGGUAAACAGUGAUUUACUUCAUCAAAUCUGAUAUAAUCGAAUAAAAUGCUUUAAUAGCGUUAUUGUCGCCAAGCUUAAGUACCAUUGCAAACAGGUAAUAAAAACAUCAUCUCGUAUUAAUCUAAGUAAGGAAAAUACAAUAUUAUUUUAUAACAAAUUAAGAGAAAUUCAAUACAAUAAAUAUAAUAAAAAAAAUACCAAUAACAAAGAAA